AAUUACCUGACAGAUGGAACAAGAGUCACAGGCUGUACUUUUCAGGCUUUGAACAGUAGGGAAGUUUGCAGUUUAACUGAGAGUCUGAAGCCCCAGGAUGGGAUAGCUAACAGCUCAACAGCUCUGAUGGAACAUUUGAGUAUCUGCAGCACUGCCAGAAUCUUCACCCACGCUUGCAUCACCACCUAUCUCAAUUCAAACUCCUCUUUCCAGAUUACUGGACAAGGAACAGAGUUAUCAGAGCAUCCAAAAUCCCUCUGCAGCUUUUCAGUGAGCCCAGCUGAUCUUAGACACACUGCUGACUCGCUCCUCAAACCCCCGAGUUGGGCCCCACGAAUAAAGCAAGAGAACUUUUCCA